GAUGAACGCUGGCGGCGUGCCUAAUACAUGCAAGUCGAGCGAACAGACGAGGAGCUUGCUCCUCUGACGUUAGCGGCGGACGGGUGAGUAACACGUGGAUAACCUACCUAUAAGACUGGGAUAACUUCGGGAAACCGGAGCUAAUACCGGAUAAUAUAUUGAACCGCAUGGUUCAAUAGUGAAAGACGGUUUUGCUGUCACUUAUAGAUGGAUCCGCGCCGCAUUAGCUAGUUGGUAAGGUAACGGCUUACCAAGGCAACGAUGCGUAGCCGACCUGAGAGGGUGAUCGGCCACACGAGAACUGGGACACGGUCCAGACUCCUACGGGAGGCAGCAGUAGGGAAUCUUCCGCAAUGGGCGAAAGCCUGACGGAGCAACGCCGCGUGAGUGAUGAAGGUCUUCGGAUCGUAAAACUCUGUUAUUAGGGAAGAACAAAUGUGUAAGUAACUAUGCACGUCUUGACGGUACCUAAUCAGAAAGCCACGGCUAACUACGUG
rnacentral:rRNA from 1 species